rnacentral:rRNA from 1 species
UAACCCUACGGGGGGCAGCAGUGGGGAAUAUUGCGCAAUGGGCGAAAGCCUGCCGCAGCGACGCCGCGUGCGGGCUGAAGGUCUUCGGAUCGUAAACCUCUGUCAGCAGGGAAGAACGGUCACUGUGCUAAUCAGCAGUGAAUUGACGGUACCUGCACAGGAAGCACCGGCUAACUCCGUGCCAGCAGCCGCGGUAAUACGGAGGGUGCGAGCGUUAAUCGGAAUUACUGGGCGUAAA